rnacentral:rRNA from 1 species
UACGGAGGGUGCGAGCGUUGUCCGGAAUCAUUGGGCGUAAAGGGCGCGUAGGUGGCCCGGUCAGCGUGCGGUGAAAGCUCGGGGCUCAACCCUGAGUCGGCCGUGCGAACUGCUGGGCUUGAGCACUGUAGAGGCAGGCGGAAUUCCGGGUGUAGUGGUGAAAUGCGUAGAGAUCCGGAGGAACCCCAGAGGCGAAGGCGGCGCCCUGGCUCGCAACUGACGCUCAGACACGACAGCAUGGGGAGCGAACGGG